GACGAACCGUCCAAACGUUAUUCGGAAUCACUGGGCUUACAGAGUUCGUAGGCGGUCCCAAAAGUUAGGUGUGAAAUCCCUCGGCUCAACCGAGGAACUGCGCUUAAAACUGUGGGACUCGAGGGAGAUAGAGGAAAGCGGAACUGAUGGUGGAGCGGUGAAAUGCGUUGAUAUCAUCAGGAACACCGGUGGCGAAGGCGGCUUUCUGGGUCUUACCUGACGCUGAGGAACGAAAGCUAGGGGAGCGAAC
rnacentral:rRNA from 1 species